CGGCCCUGCCCUGCCUGCCUUCUGCCCUCGUGCCUGCCGCCCUUCCCGAAGUGAGGAAACGAAGUUGGGAUCCUUCUCAAGCCUCUUUAUUGCCCAUCCGACUUCGGAUCGACUGUAGCACGCGGGAGCCUUUGACUCGUUUCAGCAUGGCUGUGUCAUCGUGCAGUUCGUCCACCGAAAGCGUGCCCGGUGCGCUUUGCACAAGUGGUGCGGUCCGUUAGAGGCAAAAAACGUGCUGAAGGGCAUAUCACCAUCUCUACUUGUAAGACUCACCAGUAUUUUCUGAGGAGAUCAAUAUCUAAUCCUUGAAAAGGGAGGGACAGUGCUACCUGCCAUCUGUCAGCCUGCCAGAAAUUCUUGUGCCUAUCAGAGCAAGAGCUAAGGAUGUGACAUCUUUCUCCAUCAUCUUCUCAGAAUAUCCCUGAUUCAACGCAGGAGGCAUCAAAUCUUCUCUUCCAGGCUCUUCUCUUCCAGUCCCAGGUUUCUUAGCCUUUCCUCAUAUGGGAGAUGCUCCAGGC
ensembl:lncRNA